CAUGCACACAAAACCCAAAGAUCUGUAUUUAUUAAUAAUACGAUCUUUUUGUGGUGUGCAGAAAUCAAUGAGUGCCUUGUCGCCUUUCUGAAACUGUCGUGCUUCAGAAAGUGAAAUCAAGGUCUGACAGUA
ensembl:snoRNA small nucleolar RNA SNORA68